rnacentral:rRNA from 1 species
ACUCCUACGGGAGGCAGCAGUGAGGAAUAUUGCCCAAUGGACGCAAGUCUGAGGCAGCAACGCCGCGUGGGCGAUGAAGGCCUUCGGGUUGUAAAGCCCUUUUCUGGGGGAAGAGGAAGGACGGUACCCCAGGAAUAAGUCACGGCUAACUACGUGCCAGCAGCCGCGGUAAU